rnacentral:rRNA from 1 species
UACGUAAGGACCGAGCGUUGUCCGGAAUCAUUGGGCGUAAAGGGUACGUAGGCGGUCUAGUAAGUUAGAAGUGAAAGGCAAUAGCUCAACUAUUGUAAGCUUUUAAAACUGCUAGACUUGAGAGAUUGAAGGGAAAGUGGAAUUCCUAGUGUAGCGGUGAAAUGCGCAGAUAUUAGGAGGAAUACCAGUGGCGAAGGCGACUUUCUGGCAAUCAUCAGACGCUGAGGUACGAAAGCGUGGGUAGCAAACAGG